rnacentral:rRNA from 1 species
GCCGCAGUAAUUUGACUGUGCGAAGGUAGCAUGAUCAUUAGUCUUUUAAUUGAAGGCUGGUAUGAACGGCUGGAUGAGGGAUAAGUUGUCUUUUAGGUGUGUUUUGAAUUUAACUUUUAAGUGAAAAGGCUUAAAUAUUUUAGGGGGACGAUAAGACCCUAUAAAACUUAAUACUUGUGGAUUUAGUUUGUGGAUAAAGUAUAAAACGAGCUUUGUGUUUUAGUAUUUCAUUGGGGCGAUGAAGAUAAAAUUAGUUAACUGUCUUUGAAAUUAAAUAAUAAUAAUUAGAUUUUGAUCCUUUAAUAAGGAUUAUUAGAUCAAGUUACUUUAGGGAUAACAGCGUAAUUUUCUUUGAGAGUUCUUAUCGAUAAGAGUAGUUGCGACCUCGAUGUUGAAUUAAAAUUUCAGCCGGGUGCAGAAGUUCGGCUAGUGGGUCUGUUCGACCUUUAAAAUU